rnacentral:rRNA from 1 species
AUGGCAAAAGAAGUUUAUCAAGUUUCCAGGGAGGCGCCAAGGACAACAAGUCCACCCCCCUACGGUGGUGGUGGUGGCGGUGGCGGUGGUGGUGGUGGUGGUGGUGGUGGUGGUGGUGGCGGUUCACCUACACCUCCGUCACGUCAGCCGACGCCGCCCCCCAGUCCACAACGUCCGGCGGGUGAUCAGCCGCCGCCCCCCAGUCCUCGUCCGGCGGGUGAUCAGACGCCGCCCCCCAAUCCACCUCCGGCAAAGAAGCAGAAGCAGUCCUGGAUUAUUAACCCGGACCCUUAUGUACCUAAGACCACAAAGGUACCGGAGCCAUCACUGAAGCCUCUCCCCACAAGGCCUUGGGAACGUAGUGCCGAGGAAGUCGACGCGGCCGCGGCUGCUGAUUUGGAGAAAUGGAAGGCGGACUGCAAGAAGAAAAGAGAGCCCGAGCCCAAGCCAGUAUUUUCUGAUGAGCAAAAGAAGUGGGCUAAGUCAUUUUUGAGCACACCGUCCCAAGCCGCGAAGAAUCUGCCUAACGACUAUGCACAUGAACUUCGCAGGCAGGCACUCAUGUUCAAGGAGAACAAAGAGCGGGAGAAGGCCGAAAGUAAAAAAAGCGGAAAACAAGUUGCCCAGCUCGGGGAACAAAGUAAACAAUCGAUUGCCCCGCUUAUAGUGGAAGCCUUCUGUCCGGAUGCCCCCGAGAUCAUACAAGCUGCGGCAGCACAGGGAUUGACUGUAACGAGUGCCAGAGAACAAGCGGCCAACUUAGGUAUUACUCUUCGUGAACUGUUAGGCCUUAAUGAGGCGCCAGUGAAGGAGGUAGUAAUUAGAUAUGUCAAGAAUGGGCCUCUCGUCGAGCCUGCGCAGGAAAAGGAUCUACCUCCACAAAUGAAAGGUCUGCUGAAAUGGUACAAGGGUUACAUAAAAAAUAAAAACGCCAAAGAAUAUAUUUAUGCGGAAGUUAGACAUGAGCAUCACUUCAAACAUUACUAUGUACAAAUUGAACUGAGUGAAUUGUUCCAGCUUUUCAAUCUGCGCGAGCUCGAUAAAUCUAUCAUCAGUUGCUACGUUCUAAUGAAGAUUAAGGAAUGCAGAGUAAGGAACAUCCAUGAUGUUGGGUUCAUUGACCCACACAUCGUUAAUGGACAUGUGUUGGAGCGUUACCCCGCCAACGUGGAGGCAGACCUGUGGCAGUUUCUUACAAAGCAGGAACUCAAAAGUGAUAUUCUAUUUCCUUACCAUUUUGAGUUCCACUGGAUUCUGCUAGUAAUUAAAGUUAACACCUCAGAAUGUCUCGUCCACGACUCUGUGAAUAUGGAUCCAAAGCUUUGGGGCGGCAUGAGAAGAAUGCUGCAGAAGUAA